CCAAUUUUAUCGCAUUGUUUGGCAGACCUUUUGCUUGUAAAAGGAAAUAAAUAGUUUCACAGGGAUUCUUCAUAAACUAUGUCAUUAUUCAAUUUACAAUUAGUAAUAAAUUCAGAAUAAUAAUACACAAAACAAACCCACCACCUCACAAGAAAAUGAGGCAAUUCAGGGCUGUGAAAUACAUCCUAAUGCCUUCAUAAACAUGGGUGUGUG